AGCGAACGCUGGCGGCAGGCUUAACACAUGCAAGUCGAACGGGCGUAGCAAUACGUCAGUGGCAGACGGGUGAGUAACGCGUGGGAACGUACCUUUGGUUCGGAACAACCCAGGGAACUUGGGCUAAUACCGGAUAAGCCCUUACGGGGAAAGGAUUUAUCGCCGAAAGAUCGGCCCGCGUCUGAUUAGCUAGUUGGUGUGGUAACGGCGCACCAAGGCGACGAUCAGUAGCUGGUCUGAGAGGAUGAUCAGCCACAUUGGGGACUGAGACACGGCCCAAACUCCUACGGGAGGCAGCAGUGGGGAAUAUUGGACAAUGGGCGCAAGCCUGAUCCAGCCAUGCCGCGUGAGUGAUGAAGGCCCUAGGUUGUAAAGCUCUUUGUGCGGGAAGAUAAUGACGGUACCGC
rnacentral:rRNA from 1 species